AUUGAACGCUGGCGGCAGGCCUAACACAUGCAAGUCGAGCGGAUGAAGGGUGCUUGCUCCUGGAUUCAGCGGCGGACGGGUGAGUAAUGCCUAGGAAUCUGCCUGGUAGUGUUGUAUAACGUCCGGAAACGGGCGCUAAUACCGCAUACGUCCUGAGGGAGAAAGUGGGGGAUCUUCGGACCUCACGCUCUCAGAUGAGCCUAGGUCGGAUUAGCUAGUUGGUGGGGUAAAGGCCUACCAAGGCGACGAUCCGUAACUGGUCUGAGAGGAUGAUCAGUCACACUGGAACUGAGACACGGUCCAGACUCCUACGGGAGGCAGCAGUGGGGAAUAUUGGACAAUGGGCGAAAGCCUGAUCCAGCCAUGCCGCGUGUGUGAAGAAGGUCUUCGGAUUGUAAAGCACUUUAAGUUGGGAGGAAGGGCAGUAAGUUAAUACCUUGCUGUUUUGACGUUACCAACAGAAUAAGCACCGGCUAACUUCGUG
rnacentral:rRNA from 1 species